rnacentral:rRNA from 1 species
AACGAACGCUGGCGGCAGGCUUAACACAUGCAAGUCGAACGCAUCCUUCGGGGUGAGUGGCAGACGGGUGAGUAACGCGUGGGAACGUGCCCUUCAGUUCGGGAUAACCCAGGGAAACUUGGGCUAAUACCGGAUACGUGCGAGAGCAGAAAGACUUAUCGCUGAAGGAUCGGCCCGCGUCUGAUUAGCUAGUUGGUGGGGUAAUGGCCCACCAAGGCGACGAUCAGUAGCUGGUCUGAGAGGAUGAUCAGCCACAUUGGGACUGAGACACGGCCCAAACUCCUACGGGAGGCAGCAGUGGGGAAUAUUGGACAAUGGGCGCAAGCCUGAUCAAGCCAUGCCGCGUGAGUGAUGAAGGCCUUAGGGUUGUAAAGCUCUUUCGUCCGGGACGAUAAUGACGGUACCGGAAGAAGAGGCCCCGGCUAACUUCGUGCCAGCAGCCGCAGUAA